GACGAACGCUGGCGGCGUGCUUAACACAUGCAAGUCGAACGGAAAGGCCCUGCUUUUGUGGGGUGCUCGAGUGGCGAACGGGUGAGUAACACGUGAGUAACCUGCCCUUGACUUUGGGAUAGCUUCAGGAAACUGGGGCUAAUACCGGAUAGGAGCUCCUGCUGCAUGGUGGGGGUUGGAAAGUUUCGGCGGUUGGGGAUGGACUCGCGGCUUAUCAGCUUGUUGGUGGGGUAGUGGCUUACCAAGGAUUUGACGGGUAGCCGGCCUGAGAGGGUGACCGGCCACAUUGGGACUGCGAUACGGCCCAGACUCCUACGGGAGGCAGCAGUGGGGAAUAUUGCACAAUGGGCGGAAGCCUGAUGCAGCAACGCCGCGUGCGGGAUGACGGCCUUCGGGUUGUAAACCGCUUUCGCCUGUGACGAAGCGUGAGUGACGGUAAUGGGUAAAGAAGCACCGGCUAACUACGUG
rnacentral:rRNA from 1 species